GAAAAGAGCUCCGUUCAAGUCGCUAUUAGGUAGCCUUACAGCUGGAGUCACUCUUCUACACUUGGCAGAUUCUAGCUGAUGAUGUCAUUGACACAAAGAAGAAAAUGCAAAAUAGGCAGCCUUACAUCAGCUUCCUGGCGAGGAUCACACUUCCAGCUGGGGCGUGAGACCAGCUGCACUCUGGCCAUGGUUUUGCAGAGUGCUCUGGAGGCAGUGUGGCUGGGGCUCCUCCUCAGCUCUCCUUGGAAGCUUGCAGAGAGCAAGGACCAAGUGUUUCAGCCUCCUGGCAUGGCUUCUCCGGAGGGCGCUGUGGUGGAAAUCUCCUGCAAUCACUCUAUAUCCAAUGCUUACACCUUCUUCUGGUACCUUCACAUCCCAGGACACGCUCCGAGACUCCUGGUUUGGGGUUCCAGGUCUUCUCAGCAGGGACGCUACAACAUGACGAAUGAGCGAUUCUCCUCACUGCUGCUCAUCCCCCAGGUGCAGGUGGAAGAUGCUGCCACUUACUAUUGUGCUCUGGAGGGCACAGAGGCAGGGAGCCUAUGAAGAGCUGAGCAGAAACAGGAAGGGGCACAGCCUUUGCAGGAGGUGGAAAAGAGGGGAGCCAUAACUGCUUUCCUCCCUGAUUCAGCGUGCCCCAAGCAUGUCCACUUGGCACUAUCAGAAAACAUUUUGAGUGCAGACACACUAUGUGAGAGCAGAUGGACAUGGGAAAAUAUGCUUGUAGGGGGUGAUUCAGUAAUGGUGCUGCAGAUCCGUAUUUCAAACAGUUUUCUGGAUAACUGAAACACUUGUGAGGAUUUUCUUUUGAGAUCUCACUAGAUUAUUUUUGCCUUUAAAUGUUAUCUGCCAGCUUCUGCUUCUUUGCAGGAAUAUUUUUAAGACAUAUGUCCAUCUUGUAAAGAAUAGUUUAGUUGAGGGGCGCCUGGGUGGCUCAGUUAAGCUUCUGACUUCAGC